UCAGCAGGUGAAGUCAACUGGAGAUGAAGAAUAACCAAUAAUUCAGCAGACAAGUCAACCGGAGAUGAAGAAUUCCACAUCUAAUCUUCUUUAUAUGCAGCUAUUGUAAGAAGAUUUCAUCGCUAAGUAAUUAACCUUACACUCCGAGUACAAUUUUGCUUUACCCAAUAAAAUAUAUAUAUGGCAGAUGCAGUGGUAAAUUUUCUGCUGGAGAACCUACUGCAGCUAGUCACUAACAAUGUCAAGCUGAUUUCAGGUGUUGAGAAAGACUUUCAAAAUCUGCUAGAAGAAGUUCGCCGCCUAAAAGCUUUCCUUGAUGAUGCAGCAAAAUACCAUAGCGAUAGCAGUCUGUGGAAACAGUUGGUCAGAGACAUCAGAAUUACAGUGCAUAGAGCUGAGGAUGUCAUUGACAAAUUCCUUGUUCAGGCGAAGCUACAUCAAGAGAAGAAUAAAGUGAAAAGGUCUUUUGAUUUAUGCCAUGUUAGAAAAGUUUGGGAUCUAGCAAAGGAUAUUAAAACAAUUCAUCAAAAUGUGAAGGAAUUUCGCCAAAAUAAUCAAAAGGCUUUUCAGCCCAAACCAAUGCUCGAUCUACCACAAAAAGUUGCACGGGAGCCUCAGGAUACUCUGUUGGAGUAUAAAGAAGUGGUUGGCUUUGAUUACGAAGCGGAAUAUGUGAUCAAACGACUUGUUGAAGGAUCAAAGGAUCUGGAAGUUGUUCCUAUUGUGGGUAUGCCUGGAAUUGGCAAAACCACAUUGGCAAGGAAAGUUUGGAGUCAUUCUCAGAUUUCAAAUAAUUUUUCCAAGAAAAUUUGGGUUUAUGUCGGCAGGUCAUACGAACUAAAGGGUAUCCUUUCUAAGAUUCUCAUAUCGUUCAUGGAACGCAUUGAAGAAUUUCGCUAUAAAGAUGUGAACGGAUUAGCUGAAGUAAUAUGUGAUUUUAUGGCUAAAGAAGGUGGUAGAUGUCUCAUUGUCCUGGACGAUGUGUGGGCUAAAGAACUUGUGGUUGUGGAUUUGGUCAAAAGAGUUCUCGAACAAAACAACAAAGGUCAUCGGAUCGUGAUGACCACUCGCGACGAGUAUGUGGCUAGCUAUGCCAGUGAACAUCCUCAUCGUCUGAAAUAUCUAUCUGACGAAGAAAGUUUUCAAUUGCUGGAAAAGAGAGCUUUCGGUAGUGAAAGAUGUCCUGACGAGUUAGUAGAACUUGGAAAAAGUAUUGCAACGAAAUGUAGUGGAUUACCACUUGCAGUACAGUUAAGUGCUGGAGCCUUAAGAUCUCGUCCGAACAAAAAUUAUUGGGAAAGAAUCGAGAAAAAUGUGGGGCUGUACCUUGUCAUAGAGAAUGACCCUGCAAGUUGCUGGGAAAUUGUGGAAACCAGUUACAACAUUUUGCCCCAAGAAAUGAAGGCGUGUUUCUUGUAUUGCUUCGCCUUUCUUCAAGGUUAUUCCAUCCCUGCUCAGAAAUUGAUUCGCUUGUGGAUCGCCGAGGGACUAAUAAAGUCCAGUCCGACGUGUACCUUCGAGGAGCUAGCAGAGAAUUACUUGGAGGAGUUUGCUCUGAGGGGUCUAGUCACAUUGUCGAGGGAUGGUGAUUCAAUAAAAGAAAUUGGUUUUCACGACGUGUUGUAUGAGUUCUACAAGACGGAGGCGAUAAUGGAAAGUGUUUUCCAAGAACUACGUCUAACACCGGAUCAGAUUCUUCCUUCCAUACAAGAUCCAGAUACUUCUCGUCGCUUGUGUAUUGAAUCAUCUGUUCUGCGUGAUUUUCUCUCCAGAAAACAAUUAAAUGCAGAACAUGUUAGAUCUUUCUUAUGCUUUUCGACAACAGAAAGACAAAUCGAGUUGUCUCUUCAUGAUGUUAGAAUCAUCUCCCAAGCAUUUCCACUGAUCAGGGUCUUGGAAAUCCAAUCUGUUAAAAUUUUCCUCCCCAUGUAUCUUAACCAACUAUUUCAUUUGAGGUAUAUUGCUAUCUCAGGUGAUUUUGCGGAACUUCCUGCAUCCUUUGGUAAGUUCUGGAAUUUACAAUUUCUCAUAGUUAAUACAAGUACACCUGAGCCCACUCUUAAAAUAAAAGCAAAUAUAUGGAACUUGUCACGGUUGAGGCAUCUAAAGACCAACAUCCCCGCAGAAUUGCUGCCCCCUCCUAACCCAACGGUUGAAGGCUCUUGCCUACAAAUUCUGUCUAAAGUUGCACCAAAAAGUUGCAAUAAAGUUGUGCUUGCAAAGGCCGGAAAUCUCAAAAAGUUGAGUAUUCAAGGGCGACUGGGAGCUUUUCUUGAGACUAACAAGGACGGAUUCAGCACUUUUCAAGGGUUAGGGCGCCUAGAAAAAUUGAAACUGAUGAAUGAUGUUCCUUACAUGAGUGAAGCUCUUCACCUUCCUCCAGAAUUAUUCAGAUUUUUGCGCAAACUGAAGAAGUUAACUUUGUCAAAUACAAGGUUUAAAUGGAACGAGGCGGAUAGACUGGGCCAGCUGGAAUGCCUUGAGGUCUUGAGGUUGAAAGAAGAUGCAUUCACGGGGAAGUCCUGGAAGCCAGAGAAAGGAGGUUUUAAACAACUCCAGGUCUUGUGGAUUCAAAAGGCUGACCUCGAAUGUUGGGAGGCUUCAAGAGAUCACUUCCCAAGACUUAAGAAACUUGUUCUUAACUGUGCUAAGCUUGAGAAUGUGCCAGUUGAGUUUUCUCAUCUCGGCCGGUCGCGCUCCUGAAAGCAUCAAACUCUAACUCAUUGUAUUACCUCCUGAAACUGAUUUAAAAGGAAAGAAUCAGGGCAUUGACAUUGCUGGAAGCCUUGGAUACAUGGAGAAAUUGAAUAUUGCUCUUUGAUAUUGAUUCACUGCAUUUCUUGUUUUUUGCAGUCCAGUCUUCUGAUAAUAAAACUUUUUUCUCUUUUGUUUGUUCAAGCAUUGUGAAGUUGAAAAUAAGUCUCCGCCUGUAGUUAGUUAGGGGGUCAGUGAUACAAGUUAAAAAAGUCGAGCAGUAGAAGCUGAGUAGUUAAAGCUGUAACAGAAUCCGAGCUGGCAGCUGAUGUGGCAUAGUUAGUUAGCUGAUGUGGCAUAGUUAGUUACAAGUUAGUUACGGCAGUUAUAGUUAGUUAGAGGUUAGCUUACAAGUUGUACUUCUAGAAUCUUCAGCUGAGCUUAUAUAGCUGAAUCAAUUGUACUGGAUAUAUACUUUUGGAGGUUAAUACAAUCUACUCUCUCUAAUCUCUUCUC